GAUGAAGAACGCAGCGAAAUGCGAUAAGUAAUGUGAAUUGCAGAAUUCAGUGAAUCAUCGAAUCUUUGAACGCACAUUGCGCCCCUUGGUAUUCCGAGGGGCAUGCCUGUUCGAGCGUCAUUAUAACCCUCAAGCCUAGCUUGGUGUUGGGGCCUGCCGGACUGGCAGCCCUUAAAAUCAGUGGCGGUGCCAUCUGGCUCUAAGCGUAGUAACUUUUCUCGCUACAGGGUCCGGGUGGACGCUUGCCAUCAACCCCUAAUUUUCUAUGGUUGACCUCGGAUCAGGUAGGGAUACCCGCUGAACUUAAGCAUAUCAAUAAGCGGAGGA
rnacentral:misc_RNA from 1 species